AACGAAGUACGCCAAACCAAUUGCGAGAUUGGGACGGAAAGCCAAGGGUCUGUUACUAAGGAUGAAACAGACAGCCGGUUGCCACU
rnacentral:ncRNA from 1 species